rnacentral:rRNA from 1 species
AGUGAACGCUGGCGGUAGGCCUAACACAUGCAAGUCGAACGGCAGCACAGUAAGAGCUUGCUCUUACGGGUGGCGAGUGGCGGACGGGUGAGGAAUACAUCGGAAUCUACUUUUUCGUGGGGGAUAACGUAGGGAAACUUACGCUAAUACCGCAUACGACCUACGGGUGAAAGCAGGGGAUCUUCGCACCUUGCGCGAUUGAAUGAGCCGAUGUCGGAUUAGCUAGUUGGCGUGGUAAAGUCCCACCAAGGCGACGAUCCGUAGCUGGUCUGAGAGGAUGAUCAGCCACACUGGAACUGAGACACGGUCCAGACUCCUACGGGAGGCAGCAGUGGGGAAUAUUGGACAAUGGGCGCAAGCCUGAUCCAGCCAUACCGCGUGGGUGAAGAAGGCCUUCGGGUUGUAAAGCCCUUUUGUUGGGAAAGAAAAGCAGCAGGUUAAUACCCCGCUGUUCUGACGGUACCCAAAGAAUAAGCACCGGCUAACUUCGUG